rnacentral:lncRNA from 1 species
GCCGGCCCCAGCCGACAACCAGGCGCACCCUGGCUGGGGAGCAGGAGAGCCAGGAAGGGUGCGAGGCGGGGAGAGGAGGCGGCGGCGGCUCCCCGGGAAGGGCGCGGGGAGGAAGGGCUGAGGCGGGAGCGGGCGGGGAGGCGGUGGGAUGAAGCCUCACCUAGAGAAGCAGCGGAGUGGAGAGUGGGUGAGCUGCCCCCGAGAGACGGCAGUGCUGCUAAAAAAAAAAAAAAAAAACCAAAAAAAAUCCCAAACAGCCAAACCGUGAAGCAGUCAGCAGCCCCGAAAAGCAGGCAGCCAUUUAAAACAGACCGACAGCUACCUUGGCCGGCGCGCUCGGGAGCGGGGAAGCCCCGCAGCAUCCACCUGCCGCGGGAGCGGGGCCGAGGCAGCCCCGGCCGCCCCCGCCGCCGCCCUGGCACGGCCGCCCUGGCACUGCCGCCCUGGCACUGCUGCCCUGGCACUGCUCCCGGCGGGGGGAACAAACCGUGCCCCUCUCCCGGCGCUGGCAGCGCCUUAACGCCGCCACGCUGUGCCUUUGAGCUCAACUGGAAGGACUUCACUUUUUCAGAAAAAUUCUCAUUGCCACCACUUUGACCAGAAACCCCAAUCUUAGUGAGGAGAUGUCCCCCAGUGCUGCAGGAAAUGUAAGUACAUGUUCUGUAGCACAUUUUGCCCCCAGCUAAUUCUUUCUAACUAGGAGCAUGCAG